GGGUAGUUCUGCUUUCGGGCGGGACGAGACCGGCGUACGGGUGCGUAACGCGUAUGCAACCUACCUUCAGCAGGGGGAUAGCCCGUGGAAACAUGGAUUAAUACCCCAUAAAGCAGGGGUUCCGCAUGGGACUAUUUGCUAAAGCUACGGUGGCUGAAGAUGGGCAUGCGUCUGAUUAGUUAGUUGGUGAGGUAACGGCUCACCAAGGCGAUGAUCAGUAGGGGUUCUGAGAGGAUGAUCCCCCACACUGGUACUGAGACACGGACCAGACUCCUACGGGAGGCAGCAGUAGGGAAUAUUGGGCAAUGGGCGAGAGCCUGACCCAGCCAUGCCGCGUGCAGGAAGACGGCCUUCUGGGUUGUAAACUGCUUUUAUCAGGGAAGAAAGAGGUGCUGCGGCGCCAGUUGACUGUACCUGAUGAAUAAGCACCGGCUAACUCCGUGCCAGCAGCCGCGGUAAUACGGAGGGUGCAAGCGUUGUCCGGAUUUAUUGGGUUUAAAGGGUGCGUAGGCGGAUUAUUAAGUCAGUGGUGAAAGUCUGCGGCUCAACCGCAGGAGUGCCAUUGAUACUGGUAGUCUUGAGUACAGUAGAGGUAGGCGGAAUUUAUGGUGUAGCGGUGAAAUGCAUAGAUACCAUAAAGAACACCGAUAGCGUAGGCAGCUUACUAUGCUGUAACUGACGCUGAGGCACGAAAGCGUGGGGAUCGAACAGGAUUAGAUA
rnacentral:rRNA from 1 species